AUUUUAAUAGCUUAAUUUAGAGCAUGAUAUUGAAGAUAUUAAGGUAAUAUUUGUUUUAAAAUA
rnacentral:tRNA from 1 species